rnacentral:lncRNA from 1 species
GCCUCCCUCUGUAUCAUUUCAGAAGUUCACUUCAAGGACUCUGAUGCCAGCUCCUGCUGCAAGAAGGUCUAUCCCAAAUGGUGCUCCAUGUGCUUUGUCUCAGACUCCUGUUCACAACUCCAGUACAGACAGAUCAUCUGCUUCACUGCUUCUGCGUUCUCGCACGCAUUUGGGCAGUCGCAACACGAAGAAGGCAUUUCAAAACUCUGUUCAUAAAACAUACUCUGGGGACCUCCUGGACAGACAUUCAGCCUAUUUUACAGAAAAGAAGCAAUGUUUUAGCCCUCGGAUCUUAAAGACAUCACAUCAAUCUUUUCUUAUGAAGUAUAGGUAUUAUAAUCCUCCUUCAAGAAAAAGGAGCUCCUCCCCUAGCAGACCACCAUUUAAAUCAUCAGACAUCAGUAACGAAAAGAAAAGCGAGUUGCACAGAUUUUUAGAAGAUUCACACGUGAGACCCCAUUCUGUUCACUUCUCUCAGCAGCCAGUUGAGAACUGUGAAUUGUGGAUUCAAAAUUCUGAAAUGCCACUUUUUCCAGGA